rnacentral:rRNA from 1 species
UACGUAGGGACCAAGCGUUGUCCGGAAUUAUUGGGCGUAAAGAGCUCGUAGGCGGCCGUUCACGUCGGAUGUGAAAGCUCGGGGCUCAACCCUGAGAGGCCAUUCGAUACGGGACGGCUAGAGGUAGGUAGGGGAAAGUGGAAUUCCUGGUGUAGCGGUGAAAUGCGCAGAUAUCAGGAGGAACACCGGUGGCGAAGGCGGCUUUCUGGGCCUUACCUGACGCUGAUGCACGAAAGCUAGGGGAGCGAACGGG